rnacentral:lncRNA from 1 species
CUCAGGCCUGUAAUUCCAGCACUUUGGGAGGCCGAGGUGGGUGGAUCACGAGGUCAGGAGUUCAAAACCAGCUUGGCCAAGAUGGUGAAACCCUGUCUCUACUAAAAAUACAAAAAAAUUAGCUGGGUGUGGUGGCGAGUGCCUGUAAUGCCAGCUACUCCGGAGGCUGGGGCAGAGAAUUGCUUGAACCCAGUAGGCGGAGGUUGCAGUGAGCCAAGAUUGUGCCACUGCACUCCAGCCUGGGCAACAGAGUGAGACUCUGUCUCAGAAAAAAAAAAAAAAUUAUUAAUAGAUGGUGACCCUCAUCUUCACGUUUUCUGCAUCUAUUGAAGUGCGCCACUGAGAUCGUGGAGUUCUUCCCUGUUUGUCCAUAUGAUGAACAACACUGAUUUUCUGAUGUUGAACAAUCCCUGGAAUAAACUCUGUUUGGUUUCCAUGGAUUUCUGUUUCCCUUUAGAUUUUGUUAGUAAUUUAUUUUGGAUUUUUGCAUCCAAGUUCAUAAUUGUAACUGGACAAAUAAAGGCAGAUUUUAAAAGGACAAGUUGGGAGGCUAAGGCGGAAGGAUCACUUGAGCCUGGGAGAUUGAAGCUGCAGCUAGCUUCGAUUGUUCCACUGUACUCCAGCCUGGUGACAGCAGGACCUGCCUCUAAAAUAAUAAUACUUAAAAGGACGAGUUUACCUACAGUCUCACCAAGCAAUGAAAGAGCUUAUCUUCUUCCUGUUUCCUUUACGGAUCUUGCUCAUGUAUUUUAUCUUAGUUACUUUAGCAUAAAUGCUAAAUCAAAUUCUUUUUCACUAGACAUCAUAAUAGCUCUAGGCAUACCACAUAAUACCCAAGCACAUUUUAAUCAUUAAAAUUGUUUCCUUUUUUUGUGGCUACUGUAACCACUUCAGCGAACCAUUUAGUGUGUAGUGGGUUUAAAUUUUUUCUCCUUCCUGGGAUAAAUUUCCCAGGAGAGGGAUAAUUGGGUCAAAAGUUACGAACAUAUUUAUGGGUUCUUUUCCACAAGAGAUCGAUCAGUUUGCAAGUGCCAUCUGCACUGUGGGGGAACCAAUCUUCAACUUGCCUGCAUUUGGUAUUAGUAUUUCAUUAACCUUUCAUUGAUCUAAUUACGGCUCUUUGACACAAUUUUCAUCAGUGAUGGACUAAGUGUGAUCCGGCCUGACCCGCCUCCGGCCGGCGUGAGAAGGGGCAUGUGUCGGGCUACCCUCGGGCUUCCCCUGCCGCCCAUUGUGAUCCAGCCCGCUAGGCGCUCCCUGCCGCCCAUUGUGACGCCUGCCAGCCGCAGGCUGGGUCCCCGAGGCGGGCGGCAUUUAGGCUCGGUCUCCACAGCCAUGGCCGCGACGCAGGAGCUGCUGCUGCAGUUGCAGAAGGAUAACCGAGAUGGUCGCCAGCGGAAGCAGGAGCUAGAGAAGCUGAUGCGCGGGCUCGAGGCCGAGAGCGAGAGCCUGCCUCAACCAGCGCCUGCAGGACCUGAGCGAGCGGGAGCGGAGGCUGCUGCGGAGGCGAAGCCAGGAAGCGCUGCUUCUGCAAGGGGAGGUGCGCGAGGCGGCGCGGGAGCGCGCGCAGCGGGUGCGCAGAAGACUGGAGGAGGCGGAGCGCCACAAGGAGGACUUGAAGCCCGGUAAACCCCGUCCUUACGAGCCCCGCCCCUAGCUCUUCUACUACGGAGGGGAACUGCAGAGCCAGAAGAGCACGGAGCAGCAACUCGCAGCCCAAUUGGUGACGCUGCAGAAUGAACUGGAGCUGGCGGAGACCAAAUGCGCCUUGCAGGAGGAGAAGCUGCAGCAGGACGCGCUGCAGACAGCGGAGGCCUGGGCCAUAUUCCAGGAGCAGACCGUAGUCCUGCAGGUGCGGCCCCACUCAGACGCCAAGGUGCCUCCCGCCUCUCCUCCCCCAGACCUGGGGCGGUAAGUCUCCCAACCCACCGCCAGGACGCCUCCCCGAGGCCUCAGUCCGCACUCUCACCCGCUCCAGGAGGUGCAGGUGAAGGUGAUGGAGGCUGCGGAGGAGCUGGACGCCUGGCAGAGUGGCCGGGAACUGUAAGGGAGUUGGGCUUGCGGGCGCGGCGGGGCACUGUGGGGCCGGGCCGGGCUGGGCUCCCACCUGCAUGCCUGUCCCCGCAGGUGUGACGGGCAGCUUCGCAGAGUGCAGUACAGCACCGAGUCGCUCAUGGAGGAGAUGGCCAGGGCGGACCGAGAGACGCGGCUGUUCGGCGGUCCUCGCGCGCUGGCCAUCAGGCGCUGCUGACGCUGCCGCUCCUCUUCCUGGGGCUGUCGCUGCUCUGGACGGUGCUGUUGGACCCCGGCGCCGUCUCCGCGUGGCUCUGGAGCCUCACCUCGGAGACGACGCUGCGCCGCCUGCGCUACACGCUGUCCCCGCUGCUGGAGCUGCGCGCUAACGGGCUGCUGCCAACCUAAGUGCAGCGCCCCGCGCCUGGCUCCAGGUGGACUCCAGGGCACCGGCUUUAUUUCUGGUGCACUCCUCUCCUGAGAGUGUAGACCAAGGUCGCCUAAUAAACUCCUCA